rnacentral:rRNA from 1 species
GAAGGCAGCCUACAAGGCCUUUACUGACGCUAAAGCUCGAAGGUGCGGGUAUCGAACAGGAUUAGAUACCCUGGUAGUCCGCACGGUAAACGAUGGAUGCCCGCUGUUCGCGAUAUAUUGUGAGCGGCCAAGAGAAAUCGUUAAGCAUCCCACCUGGGGAGUACGCCGGCAACGGUGAAACUCAAAGGAAUUGACGGGGGCCCGCACAAGCGGAGGAACAUGUGGUUUAAUUCGAUGAUACGCGAGGAACCUUACCCGGGCUUGAACUGCACAGGAAGGAUACAGAGAUGUUGACGCCCUUCGGGGCCUGUGUGGAGGUGCUGCAUGGUUGUCGUCAGCUCGUGCCGUGAGGUGUCGGCUUAAGUGCCAUAACGAGCGCAACCCUUUCCGUUAGUUGCCAUCAGGUAGAGCUGGGCACUCUGGCGGUACUGCCACCGUAAGGUGUGAGGAAGGUGGGGAUGACGUCAAAUCAGCACGGCCCUUACGUCCGGGGCUACACACGUGUUACAAUGGGGGGUACAGAGAGUCAGGCGUUGGCAACACCGCCUCAAUCAUCAAAGCCCUCCUCAGUUCGGAUUGGGGUCUGCAACCCGACCCCAU